rnacentral:rRNA from 1 species
UACGUAGGGGGCAAGCGUUGUCCGGAAUCAUUGGGCGUAAAGAGCGUGUAGGCGGCCCGAUAAGUCCGCCGUGAAAGUCCAGGGCUCAACCCUGGAAUGCCGGUGGAAACUGUCGGGCUGGAGUCCGGAAGAGGCGAGUGGAAUUCCUGGUGUAGCGGUGAAAUGCGCAGAUAUCGGGAGGAACACCUAUUGCGAAGGCAGCUCGCUGGGACGUUACUGACGCUGAGACGCGAAAGCGUGGGGAGCAAACAGG